rnacentral:lncRNA from 1 species
UAUUAUUACUAGUAAAAUAAUGGAUGCACUAGUACAGACAUGCCAAGGAUAUAUAUAAUCACGCUGCUCAAGUACAAAUAUAUAUCCUCAAACUCAACACCAAAAUCCAGUAAUCCUUAAAGCUCUAAGAAUACAAUGGUCACAUAUUCCAUAAAAAUAUUAUAAGUAAACAACAGGGAUAGUAUACAAUUAUUCUAUUGAGGUUGUAGCAGAUUACCAGAUACACCCUUAUACUUAAUUUGCUGGGGUCCUAUGACCACCAUGUGCUUGUUAGAAGUGUAAUAUAAGGAGUUUUAAGUGUUAUUCUAGAGAAACAGGUCAAGUCCAAAGGGGGAAUAUGUAAUUUCCCUAAACUAUAGGUACUUGUAAAUAGUGAUGCAACAACUCAAAAUUAGUUCGAUGGAGUAGAAAUAUUUGGAAUUGAAGGCAAAGGAGGCAAAGUGACCUUAACGAUAGUAGUAGUUGAAAUUGUUGGCAAAGUAGGGAGAGUUGUGUUUGGCAAAGAUGGCAAUGUUGUUGAAAUGUUUGGCAAUUGUGGCAAAGAUGGAAUAGUGGGCAGUGGAAUUUGCAAUAAGCUACGAGCUGCAAAGCCAAGGCUAGAGCUUGAGAGUGACAAGGUCUUGACCAAGCAAAAGACAAAGCCAUUCUUGAAAAUAGCCAUUGUAAAAAUGAAUGGAAAAAAUACGGUAAGCUGGCCUGAAAAUCACAAUUAUUAAAAAAAAUGUUUGUUUUUCUUGAGGAAAGGAA